AGUGAACGCUGGCGGUAGGCCUAACACAUGCAAGUCGAACGGCAGCACAGUAAGAGCUUGCUCUUACGGGUGGCGAGUGGCGGACGGGUGAGGAAUACAUCGGAAUCUACUUUUUCGUGGGGGAUAACGUAGGGAAACUUACGCUAAUACCGCAUACGACCUACGGGUGAAAGCAGGGGAUCUUCGGACCUUGCGCGUUUGAAUGAGCCGAUGUCGGAUUAGCUAGUUGGCGGGGUAAAGGCCCACCAAGGCGACGAUCCGUAGCUGGUCUGAGAGGAUGAUCAGCCACACUAGAACUGAGACACGGUCCAGACUCCUACGGGAGGCAGCAGUGGGGAAUAUUGGACAAUGGGCGCAAGCCUGAUCCGGCCAUACCGCGUGGGUGAAGAAGGCCUUCGGGUUGUAAAGACCUUUUGUUGGGAAAGAAAAGCAGCAGGUUAAUACCCCGCUGUUCUGACGGUACCCAAAGAAUAAGCACCGGCUAACUUCGUG
rnacentral:rRNA from 1 species